rnacentral:lncRNA from 1 species
GAUCGUGUAUAACAUUCAAGCGUAUAAUGAAUGAAUCAUGUGCUGCAAAUGAGAGACUAACAAACACAAUCUAUAUAACAAGCACAUCAUCACAUUGAUGAGAGUUUUUAAUAACAAGUCUAUCUAUCUAUCUAUCUAAAAACCCAUCACAUUUAUGGGUACGUUGAUAUGGAAUUUUCUAAGUAGGUGUGAAAUCUAAAUGAGC